rnacentral:rRNA from 1 species
GACGAACGCUGGCGGCGCGCCUAACACAUGCAAGUCGAACGAGCGAGAGAGAGCUUGCUUUCUUGAGCGAGUGGCGAACGGGUGAGUAACGCGUGAGGAACCUGCCACAAAGAGGGGGACAACAGUUGGAAACGACUGCUCAUACCGCAUAAGCCCACGGUGCCGCAUGGCACCGAGGGAAAAAGAGCAAUCCGCUUUGAGAUGGCCGCGCGUCCGAUUAGCUAGUUGGUGAGGUAACGGCCCACCAAGGCGACGAUCGGUAGCCGGUCUGAGAGGUUGAACAGCCACAUUGGGACUGAGACACGGCCCAGACUCCUACGGGAGGCAGCAGUGGGGAAUCUUGCGCAAUGGGCGAAACCCUGAUGCAGCGACGCCGCGUGGAGGAAGAAGGUCUUCGGAUUGUAAACUCCUGUUGUUGGGGAAGAUAAUGACGGUACCCAGCGAGGAAGUGACGGCUAACUACGUG